rnacentral:lncRNA from 10 species
AAGACAUCUUCAAAUCAAUUGAUGGAAGAUUGAGAGAAAGAGAACUUCAGGUCCAGGUGCUGUGGCUCAUGCCUGUAAUCCCAGCACUUUGGGUGACUGAGAAUUUCAGAAGAGAAAGAGUCUCUCAGCAUUUCUCACUGGACAUGCCUGAAGAAGCAUGUAGUCUUAAUUGCUACUGACAUCAUCCCAUAACCACAAUGGAAAAGGACUGGAGAUAUUGUCUGAGAGCUCUUGUUAUGUGCUAACCAUCCUGUUGGACAAUGGGAACAAAGAUAUGAGACUCCUUCAAGGAAGGACUCAAGCUACCAAAGGUAAAGCUUUGAAAAACUAUUACAGGCAUUUCUUGAAAACAGUAUGGAAUCAUCUGAUAACACUGAGGUGAUAUGAAUACUCCUUUAACCGGCAAUGUGGCUCUUAGGAACUGAUGGGCAUGCACAUCAGGAUAUACACAAAAGAUUUCCCAGCAGCACUGUUUGUAAUAGCCUUGAGCUAGAAACAAUAAAUGUCCACCAAGAGUAAAAUGUAUAAAAUAUACAAUGGAAUACCAGACAUCAAUGAAAAUGAAUAAACUA